GACGAACUGUCCAAACGUUAUUCGGAAUCACUGGGCUUAAAGGGUGCGUAGGCGGCUCAGAAAGUAGGGUGUGAAAGCCCUCGGCUCAACCGAGGAAUUGCGCCCUAAACUACUGGACUCGAGGGAGACAGAGGUAAGCGGAACUUACGGUGGAGCGGUGAAAUGCGUUGAUAUCGUAAGGAACACCAGGAGCGAAAGCGGCUUACUGGGUCUCUUCUGACGCUGAGGCACGAAAGCUAGGGGAGCGAACGGG
rnacentral:rRNA from 1 species